UAAGGAAUAUUGGUCAAUGGACGCAAGUCUGAACCAGCCAUGCCGCGUGAAGGAUGAAGGUCCUCUGGAUUGUAAACUUCUUUUAUCUGGGACGAAAACGGGAUUUUUAUCUCAAUUGACGGUACCAGAGGAAUAAGCACCGGCUAACUCCGUGCCAGCAGCCGCGGUAAUACGGAGGGUGCGAGCGUUAUCCGGAUUUACUGGGUUUAAAGGGUGCGUAGGUGGGCUUAUAAGUCAGUGGUGAAAUCUCCGAGCUUAACUUGGAAACUGCCGUUGAUACUGUAGCUCUUGAAUUAUCUGGAGGUAAGCGGAAUAUGUCAUGUAGCGGUGAAAUGCUUAGAUAUGACAUAGAACACCAAUUGCGAAGGCAGCUUACUACAUAUAAAUUGACGCUGAGGCACGAAAGCGUGGGGAUCAAACA
rnacentral:rRNA from 1 species